UGUUUCUGAAGGGACAGGGACAGGAAUCAUUCUGUACAAUGGGACUGACCGAUUCAGUAAGGACUGAUCAGGUUCUUGUACCAGCCUCCUGCAGAGACGACUGCCACAGGACACAAAGGACUCCAAUGGGGCUUGCUACCGAAGCCACCAACAUCCUCGCGGGGCUUCUGCUGCGCCCGCCACGGCCUAGACCACCAAGCAGACUACGAGCGGGGCCGACAAGGGCAGUCAAGUGCGGAGGACGCUCAGCAGCGUAGACCGAGGGGAUCGGGCCAUGCCACGCCACGGUGGGGGGAAGGUGGAGCAGGCAGGUGAGCGACAGGACCAGGAGAAGCAAAGAGCAGCAGGCAGGUGCCGGGAAUCCCAGGAGAGCGCCCACAGGCUCUGCACCCCGCACCCCAGACCUCGCCCUACAUCUCUUCCACUCGGCGCCGAGUUGUGUCCUUUACAACAAAGCCAUAGUCGAAAGUACAGCGCUCGCAGUGUGUUCUGUAAACUGGUGAACCAGGCGGGGGGUUGUGGGAACCUCCAGAUUUACAGCCGGGACAGAAGCGCCGUGGGUUGCCUGGCGUCUGAAGGUGUGGGCUCUUGCCGGGGACCUUGCCCUUUCACUUGAGGGGUCUGCAGCAACACUGCGUAGUUAGUGUCAAACCUGAACCCAGGCCUCCCGGUCGGUAUCUGCAAGGCACCAAAAGGCUACCAGGGCGCCUUCAAUAAAGCGGUGGCUAUGGCAACGGAAGGCGCUGGGUUGUCGCCAUCGUGGGACAGAUGGUACAGGACCCGAGAGCACAGGGAGGAGCGAGGAAUCGAACUCUCGGCUCUAGGAAACCUGAGCUUCCUCAAGGGCUUUCAGGAAGAAGUGUCUAGGAACCAGGUGCAGGUGAAGGAAGGCAUCAGGGGGAGGAGACAGAUUGGAGUUCCCUGCGGAGGCAGACUGUGCAUUUGGAGGAGGAGGUAAAACACUGGGGGGAGGGGCAAGGAGAGAGAAGAGGACCCAGGAGAAAGUGCUUCGAUAAACACUCAACGUGGUGAGGGGCAAGAGAAAGGGCACUCAGGGAGCUGGGAGGGGACAGGAGGACAGGAGGGUCCACAACAUGCUCCGAGGACAGUGUCAGACAGAAAAGCCUCCGACCUGCGAAGCGAAGGGGUGGCCCUGAGAUGACCGUCUCUGUGGGGGAAGGAAACAGAGGCCGGGUCCUGAGACACCCAGGAGGUUCCAGGCCACGCAUGUGGCGGUACGUGUGCUCCGGGAAGCUCGCUGGGAGGGACAGGGCAGUGUGAGGGUGAAGCCGCAGAGAACUGAUUUCUGGAGAAGGAAAGAGGCCUGAGUGCAUUAACAGAGUAGACGUAGCCCACAGAACAGGAGGCCCGGAAAACAUCACCCCCAUCCUGGGUUUCCGGGCAAGCAACAGUGGGGGCAGCAGCAGAAAUGGGGGAGAGCCUGGGGCGGGGGGAGGGGGGGGCGAUUAGACACAGAUCAGAAUCUCCAGGGAGGGAUGAGAAGAGGACCUUGCAGGAGGGACAGAGAACUGAGGGCUCCUGCCAAGACAGCCUUGACCGCUGUGCCACGCCGGAAGGAAGGAGGCAGGCAGGGCAGGACGUAGGCCAUUUGGAGCCUCAGAGCCCGGGGCCAGCCGACUGGGGCCCAGCUGGGCGAGGAUGGGUUAGGGAAGAAGCGUUAGUGGGGCGGCGUGGCCAGGCGGGGGCUCAGGGAUGGGGAAGGGGGACGGGAGGUCCUGCGCUAAAGGGGGCCAUUCUGGGUGACGGUGCUCUAAUCUGACCGAGUGGCGGACUAGUAAGACAGGAGGAGGAGUGACCGCAGGAGUUCUGUGGCAGGGACGCCCAGAUCCCAGAGGGGGUUGAGGGGGGCAGGGCGGAUGUGUGGCCUGAGGGAGGAAGGUGGACCGUGCCCUGGGGGCCCAGAUCCGAACUCUCUAAAGCUCUGUUCUCAUCUGUGAAACAGAGGGGAUAUUCCUGCCUUGCUUGCUCGCAGGUGGCUCACGAGAUUGUUUCGGGAGUCACAGAUCCCCAGAAAACAUAUCAGGUCUUCCCAUCAGAGGCUUAUGCCAGAGGAUGGGUGUGCAGAGCUCCCAGAUACGGGGUCACGUGAGGGAAGUCUUUCUGCUCAGAAAACGUCGCCCACCGCCACCAACAUUAACUCAGCGCGGGUGAGUCAUUUUCUGUACAAGCUCCACGAAAUGCCAAGGGCAGUGAUCCCUGGCCAGGUAACACGGCAAGGUGACAGAGGAACGCCGGUGCAGCUUCAGGGCAGCAGACGCCCCAAUGACCUGGUCUCCUGCUCUCAGCAGAGGGACAGCUCAGGAAAAGGGGCCACAGAGACAGUGGUCUCGUUCCCGAGGAGCCACCGCGUCUGGAUGGUCCACCAUCUCUCACUCUCCCCAUGAUGAACCUCCGGCCACAGGACUCGAACCUUCUCCUGCUUGCCCCACAGUGCUAACUGUCCCCACCGUGGCCAGCUCUGGAGAGGGGACGGUGACGUGCACUGCAUUUCUGGAGGCGGCGUGGAAAGGGCCCGGGGCGAGAAGUCAGACCGGCCACUCGGGAGCCCUGCCACUUUGGGCAAAUCACUGCAGCAAAGGACUGGAGCCCGAGAAGCCUCCCUGUAAAUUCGGAGACAACCACGUAAGAAGAUCCACAAGCAAAGAGACCAGAAAGGAUUUCCACAGCAGACAGUGAGGGGAGUGAAGGGUGCAGAGCAGUGUCCAGGCCACGAUUUUCCUCACACGCUCUGACACGUGCUAGUUUGAUCAGGUGUUAACAGUUAUGAUCAAUACUGUAAAAAAAAAAAGGUUCUAGGAUCAAAGGCAUUUUGCAAACACUGGGCUGAACCAAAGCCUUCCUUGUCGGACUUGAGAGAGCUUUUGCUAAAUUAAUAGGCACUGAAGAGCAGUCAUUCCUGAAGCAUUUAAAGGAUUAGUUAAGAGCUUGAAGAAUUAAGGACAUGUUGGUUUAGAAGUAAUUUUGCCCAUGGGGCGCCUGGGUGGCUCAGUCGGUCAUGAUCAGGUCAGGUCAGGUCAUGAUCUCCCCAUCCGUGGGUUCAGGCCCCGUGUCGGGCUCUGCACUGACAGCUCGGAGCCUGGAGCCUGUUUCGCAUUCUGUGUCUCCCUCUCUCUCUGCCCCUUCCCCACUCACGCUCUGUCUCUGAAAAAUGAAUAAACUUUAAAAAAAAAAAAAUGUAAAAAGAAGUAAUUUUGCCCAGGGAUGCCUGGGUGGCUCAGUCGGUUAAGCUUUUUUUUUGUUUUUUGUUUUUCUUUAUUUAUUUUUGAGACAGAGAGAGACAGAGCAUGAGCAGGGGAGGGGCAGACAGAGAGGGAGACACAGAAUUUGAAGCAGGCUCCAGCACAGAGCCCGAUGUGGGGCUCAAACUCAUGAACCGUGAGAUCAUGACCUGAGCCGAAGUCAGACAUUCAACCGGGAGCCACCCAGGCGCCCCUAAAGUCAGUUAAGCUUCUAACUUCCGGCUCAGGUCAUGAUCUCGCAGUCCAUGAGUUUGAGCCCUGCAUCAGGCCCUGUGCUGACAGCUCAGAGCCUGGAGCCUACUGCAGAUUCUGUGUCUCCCUCUCUCUCUCUCUCUCUCUAAAAAAUCAAUAAACAUUGAAAAAGAAAUAAAAAAAAAAAAAGUGAUUUUGCCCAGUGAUCAGUAGGAAAAGAAAAAAAAAAAAAUUAUCCACUGAGAAGGCUGGAAUGGAGGGCGGGGGGUAGCAACGCCCAGGGCCAACACAUAAAUAAAGCAACUGACAGACAAAACAAUUAUUCAAACAUCCUAAUAUUCUUUUCCUCCAGGGUCACAUUACCUGCACUGUCAGGUAUGACCUCUGCUUCUCCUUCUAUGAAACAGCUCCUGCGUAAGUACUAGUGACCAUUGCAAAAAAGUAAUUCAUAGCGGCACGAACUCCGGCAAUCAAAUAUCCACGGAGCUCUUACAGGGUCACUAUGUUUACGUUUCACUUUCUCAAGUUUUCCCAAUAUCACGUACCCAUCAGCUCGUGGUUGUGCCACACGCACUACACAGUGUCCCACAAGUCCACGUCGUACUCGUGCAGGCCAGGCAUCCUUUCUGCCUGACCCGGGAGACCGGGAGGAUUCAGGACAGCUGUCACCAAUAUGAAAAGGAAAAGCGACCACCCACACCCAAACAGGCUGGUCCUUGCCUUGCCCCGGGAAGGCUAGAAAAAGAACAGGCUGGGCCGCAGAUAACUCCACUCUGGAGUAAGUGGAGUCUGUAUUUCAAAUGACAGGCCUUAGGGCUUCAUUUAAAAAAGCUAACCUUCGAUAUGAUUGCUCUGGCCUCUUCUAUAGUCUUCUUUAACACUUCCUUCAUCUUUUCAUUUGGAGCUGUGGAAAUAGAACCGGGAAGAUGGAGAGAAACAGCUAUCUUUAAAGGUCUUCUUGGGGAGGGGAGAGGGAAAAACUAACGAACAAAACCAAAACAAA